UACGAAGGGGGCUAGCGUUGCUCGGAAUCACUGGGCGUAAAGCGCACGUAGGCGGCUUUCUAAGUCAGGGGUGAAAUCCUGGAGCUCAACUCCAGAACCGCCUUUGAUACUGGAAAGCUUGAGUUCGGGAGAGGUGAGUGGAACUGCGAGUGUAGAGGUGAAAUUCGUAGAUAUUCGCAAGAACACCAGUGGCGAAGGCGGCUCACUGGCCCGAUACUGACGCUGAGGUGCGAAAGCGUGGGGAGCAAACAGG
rnacentral:rRNA from 1 species